rfam:Schistosoma curassoni strain Dakar, Senegal genome assembly, scaffold: SCTD_scaffold0001759
UUCUGCAUGAGGAGCCUCAAAUAGGACGAAACGCGCGUCCUGGAA